CCUACGGGAGGCAGCAGUGAGGAAUAUUGGUCAAUGGGCGCGAGCCUGAACCAGCCAAGUAGCGUGAAGGAUGACUGCCCUAUGGGUUGUAAACUUCUUUUAUAGGGGAUUAAAGUUCGGCACGUGUGCCUUUUUGUAUGUACCUUAUGAAUAAGGAUCGGCUAACUCCGUGCCAGCAGCCGCGGUAAUACGGAGGAUCCGAGCGUUAUCCGGAUUUAUUGGGUUUAAAGGGAGCGUAGGUGGGCGAUUAAGUCAGUUGUGAAAGUUUGCGGCUCAACCGUAAAAUUGCAGUUGAUACUGGGUGUCUUGAGUACAGUAGAGGUAGGCGGAAUGCGUGGUGUAGCGGUGAAAUGCUUAGAUAUCACGAAGAACUCCGAUUGCGAAGGCAGCCUACUGAACUGCAACUGACGCUGAUGCUCGAAAGUGUGGGUAUCAAACAGGAUUAGAUACCCCAGUAGUC
rnacentral:rRNA from 1 species